rnacentral:tRNA from 1 species
GGGCGUGUAACUCAGUGGUAGAGUGCUCGCUUCGCAUGCGAGAAGUCCAGGGUUCAACUCCCUGCUCGUCCA